rnacentral:rRNA from 1 species
AACGAACGCUGGCGGCAGGCCUAACACAUGCAAGUCGAACGAGUAAGAGCCGUAGCAAUACGGAGUUCUGCUAGUGGCGCACGGGUGAGUAACGCGUGGGAACGUGCCUUGGAGUUCGGGAUAACAGUUGGAAACGACUGCUAAUACCGAAUAUUCCCUCAGGGGAAAGAUUAUCGCUCCAAGAUCGGCCCGCGUAAGAUUAGGUAGUUGGUGGGUAAUGGCCUACCAAGCCUACGAUCUUUAGCUGGUCUGAGAGGACGACCAGCCACACUGGAACUGAGACACGGUCCAGACUCCUACGGGAGGCAGCAGUGGGGAAUAUUGGACAAUGGGCGAAAGCCUGAUCCAGCCAUGCCGCGUGAAUGAUGAAGGCCUUAGGGUUGUAAAAUUCUUUUGCAGGGGAAGGAUAAUGACGGUACCCUGCGAAUAAGCUCCGGCUAACUUCGUGCCAGCAGCCGCGGUAAU